GACGAACGCUGGCGGCGUGACUAAUACAUGCAAGUAGGACGCAGUUGCGAACGGGUGAGUAACGCGUAGGUAACUACCUAUUAGAAGGGGAUAAAUAUUGGAAAAGAUAGCUAAUACCGCAUACUAGGAGAUGGACAUGCGUUGUAUUAGCUAGUAGGUAGGGGAAUGGCUUACCUAGGCAACGAUACAUAGCCGACCUGAGCGGUUGAUCCGCCACCCUGGGACUGAGACACGGCCCAGACUCCUACGGGAGGCAGCAGUAGGGAAUCUUCGGCAAUGGGGGGAACCCUGACCGAGCAACGCCGCGUGAGUUAAGAAGGUUUUCGGAUCGUAAAGCUCUGUUGUUAAGGAAGCGGUACUUAACCAGAAAGGGACGGCUAACUACUUGCCAGCAGCCGCGGUAAUUC
rnacentral:rRNA from 1 species